rnacentral:rRNA from 1 species
AUUGAACGCUGGCGGCAUGCCUUACACAUGCAAGUCGAACGGUAACGCGGGGCAACCUGGCGACGAGUGGCGAACGGGUGAGUAAUGUAUCGGAACGUGCCCAGUUGUGGGGGAUAACUGCUCGAAAGAGCAGCUAAUACCGCAUACGACCUGAGGGUGAAAGCGGGGGAUCGCAAGACCUCGCGCAAUUGGAGCGGCCGAUAUCAGAUUAGGUAGUUGGUGGGGUAAAGGCCCACCAAGCCAACGAUCUGUAGCUGGUCUGAGAGGACGACCAGCCACACUGGGACUGAGACACGGCCCAGACUCCUACGGGAGGCUGCAGUGGGGAAUUUUGGAAAAUGGACGCAAGUCUGAUUCAGCCAUGCCGCGUGCUGGAAGAAGGCCUUCGGGUUGUAAACCGCUUUUGUCAGGGAAGAAAAGGGCGACUCUAAUACAGUUGCCUCAUGACGGUACCUGAAGAAUAAGCACCGGCUAACUACGUGCCAGCAGCCGCGGUAAGAC